AUGUUGCAGAGCAUGUUGGAUUUAGUAAGAAUGCCAAUGUUGAAGAUUGCAGCACCUGAGUUUCGCGUAUGGUCACCCACUACACUACUCGGUCAGGCUCUUACCAGCUUAACUACAGUUGAUCGGACGGGAAACGGUGCUUUCUGGUAG